UGCCACAGCCAUAUCACCCUGCAGCCCAAGACUGGUUACUCACUGAAGCUAAGCAGGGCUGAGCCUGGUCAGUACCUGAAUGGGAGACCUAAUGGGAAAACUAGGUUGCUGCUGUUG
ensembl:rRNA 5S_rRNA 5S ribosomal RNA